GGAUUUGAUCCUGGUCCAGGAUGAACGCUAGCGGUGUGGAUAAGGCAUACAAGUCGUACGAUUCCGAUUUAUCGGAAUAGUGGCGAACGGGUUAGUAAUACCUUGGUAACUUACCAUCAAGAUGGGGAUAGUUCGUCGAAAGGCGAGGUAAUACCCAAUAGUUCCCAAUUUUCUAUGAAGAUUGGGAUAAAGGAGUAAUCUGCUUGAUGAUAGACCUAGGUCCUAUCAGCUUGUUGGUGAGGUAACUGCUCACCAAGGCUAUGACGGGUAGGGGGUGUGAGAGCAUGGUCCCCAACAAGGGCACUGAGACACGGGCCCUACUCCUACGGGAGGCAGUAGCCGAGAAUCUUCGGCAAUGGGCGAAAGCCUGACCGAGCGACACCGCGUGUGGGAAGAAUGGUUUCGGCCUGUAAACCACUUUUCUCCAGGAAGAAUGCCGUUUAUUCGGUAUGACAUUACUGGAGGAAUAAGGAGCUGCAAACUAUGUGCCAGCAGCAGCGGUAAUACAUAGGCUUCAAGCGUUAUCCGGAUUUACUGGGCGUAAAGCGUCCUUAGGCGGUUUUGUUAGUUUGUUGUUAAAGCCUCUGGCUCAACCAGGGAGAAACAAUAAAUACGGCAAGACUAAGAGGAAGAAAGAGGUUGGCGGAACACACGGUGUAGGGGUGAAAUCCGUUGAUAUCGUGUGGAACACCGAAAGCGAAGGCAGCCAACUGGGUCUUUCCUGACGCUCAAAGACGAAAGCGUGGGUAGCAAAAAGGAUUAGAUACCCUUGUAGUCCACGCCCUAAACGAUGGGUGCUAGUUGCUGGUAGUAUCGACCCUAUCAGUGACGAAGCUUACGCGUUAAGCACCCCGCCUGGGAAGUACGGUCGCAAGACUAAAACUCAAAGGAAUAGACGGGAGUUCGCACAAGCGGUGGAACAUGAGGUUUAAUUCGAUAACAAACGAAGAACCUUACCAGGGCUUGAAACUCCGAUGAAAUUCCGGUGAAAACCGGAACCUCUGCAAGGACAUCGGAACAGGUGCUGCAUGGUUGUCGUCAGCUCGUGGCGCGAGUCGUUCCCUUCAGUGGGGAAACGAGCGCAACCCCUAUCCUAUGUUACAAGUGUCAUAGGAGACC
rnacentral:rRNA from 1 species